GUGGUGUUUGGAUCGUCCCUGCCGGCUGGCUCCGUGCCCGUCCACCGAACGGCCGGCAGGCGAUCCGCGUCGGUCGUGUGAGGAAAACAUGGUCCCCCGGAGGCUGGUUCUUGUGUUGCCUACCCCUUCAAGGGAAGCGGGCCACUUGAUGCACGCCUCCAUCCUGCGCAGCCCAGUGGGCGCAGGAGGACAACGGAGCACCCCCCGCGUUCCACCGAGCCCUUGCCGGUCGCGUGGCCCGCGGGGACGUGCGAUGCUCUCGGACCCGGCGCACGCCGUGGGCGAGGACUCACGUCCCAGUCCCAACAGAAGCCUCGAUGUAACGCAUGACGGCCGCUCCCGCCCCUCGACCGCCCCGGCGGUGCGAGGGCGAGGCGCGGCGUCGCGGAGGAAUGCUACCUGGUUGAUCCUGCCAGUAGUCAUAUGCUUGUCUCAAAGAUUAAGCCAU
rnacentral:misc_RNA from 1 species